AUAAGUUGGGGCAAAAUAUGCCCCCUGCAAAAGACAGAACAUAGCCGACGCAUUGAGCGUCGGUUAUUUUUUUGC
rnacentral:sRNA from 1 species